CCUAGAGGCGGUGGCGGAAAGCAAGGAAGCAGGGGUUCGGCGAGGCCCUGCCCUACAGGGCUUGGCAGGGUUCGUGGCCGUUUGGGGUUGGUCCGAAGGGACGUCAUGUCCGUCGGGGGCGGGAUCGUCGUCACUGUCAAAGGACAUCAAGUCCUCUUCUUUGUCUGACAAAGAAGUCGUGGUCUCAACGGGCCUGGGCCCCGGCGCCAUAUUGGCCCGGGAGACUGCGUCAGAAUCACUGGCGGGUGUCAGCCCCUUACCAUCUCGGAGAGCUACCUCCCCAGCCUGUAUAGCCUGCGCCACCAGUGGAUCCCUCGCUUUAUGAGAAAUAAUAUCAUUAAUCAAAUUCCAAUAUGAGAAUGCCGCAAUAGGGACCUUCCCGGGUCCGCAAGUGGCAUAAUAAUCCUGGAGAGCUUCCCCCACCUUUUUCCAUCUCUGUUCGUCAAUGGUUCCCUCAGCAGGGAACCAGGGACAGAGAUCUUUAAUAUAAUCAAAAAAUCUUAACAACUGUUUGACUGUAACCUUUACCCCUCGUGCCUGUAAUGUCUUCUUGAGACCUUGCACAAACAAUUCGUGCUGACUAAUGCCCUGUCCCAUAAUCGCUGCUCAACUUACCGAGGUGCAAAAAGACGGCAGGUCCACGUCAAUUGCAAGCCUCUCCCGUGUCGAGUGUGCUCUUUGUUCCUCAAUCUUAAUCUUAGGGCCCCUGAGCAGCGUCCUUCACUGGAUCCCCCGUUCUCUGGCCCCACGUUGGGCGCCACUUGUCCCGGCCCGCGGGUAAGUCAACGGAGACCCUAGAGGGGGAGCGAGGAUGAGAGGGGACAGGGGACACGAGAGAUGGAGACAAGACAGGUUUCUGAUCAAGUCUCGUUUAUUGCAGAAGCUGUUACAACAUAUAUACCGUAGGGCUAGAGGGGAGGAGCAAGAGGAGGGUACUGGGGCUACUUCCUUGUUGCCGGGUAGAUUUGCAGCAGGCCCGGAUAUGUCCGUAAAAGGCACUCAAGAGUUCUAGCGGGGGGGCAAGGCCCCCCACAAAGGGGUUAGUUGUUUUUUUUGUUGUUGUUGUUGUUUUGGUACCGGGGAUCAAACUCGGGACCUUGCACUUUCUAGGCAGGCAGCGGCACUACUGAGCUAAAUCACCGCCCUGGGGUUAGUUUUUUGAGAUGAGGUCUGACCAUAUUGCAUAGUCCAGGCUAGGCUUGAACGCAUUGUGUAGCACUGGCUGGCCUCAAACACAUGGCGAUCCUCUUGCCUCAGCCACCACAGCAGGCCAGGUGACUUCUCUGGCGAGGUAUGAAGGCCCACGGUGCCCUUCGAAGCUGUGCGAGCUAGGAAGGGUGCCAGUCCUGAGGGAAACGAGAAGCCUGCCUCCCUGCUGAUGGCAGCGGUUCUCCCUCUGCCCGGGGUAGCCUGUGGGAGACUCGAUUUUCCCGAAGUCUCUAGCACAGAGGCUGGGCAGCUUCUCGGGGACCAGGACGCCCAAGCAGAGCCACAGAUGCUCAGCGGUGUUCCUCAGGUCAAGGCACCUUCUAUGACACGGGCCUUUCACACUUCGAGGCCAUGUGACUGGUUGUGUUCUGAGUGAGCUGCCAGAAAUAAUGGCGGUUGUUUUAGACGGCUGUCAGCCCCUUCUCUUGGGUCACAGGGCGGGUGGGGUGGCCGGCUGUGCAGCUCGGCUGUGUGCCACCAGCCCUGUGGCAGGCUUCUCUGGCUGCCGAUGCUGGAUGGACUGGAGUGUGGGGCAGGGGACACAGGCCGGAAAAGCUGGGGCAGCCCAGAGUCCCCAGUGUGCAGGUCUUGCUCUCCCCAGGGGGAGGGGCAGCCUACAGACCUCUCCUCCCUCAAGGCCAGGCUCGCCCGUGGGGACAGGGACCAGUCAUCUCCACCUCUGACCCCACCCGACGCCGGUAGGCACCUUCAGUGACCCCUGACUUGUGUCCCUCCAGCUGCGGAGCCGCGACGGCUCUGAGUACCUGAUCCAGCACGACUCGGAGGGCGUCAUCAGCGCCUGGCACCAGGCCAUCGGGCAGGGCAUCGAGGAGCCGCCCGCAGAUCCGGCCCUGGGGGAGGACGUCGAGGCCAGCAGCGCUGACUUCAGGUCCAGCGAGAGGGAGGACGGCACAGGUGGGCCCAGCGGGGCAGGGUACGGGGACGCCCGGGUUGGGACCCAACACCCCGCUGACACCGGGGUCCCCACGCAGCCGCGCCCGCCCCGAGCCCCGGGACCCCCGAGAGCGACCUGAGCCGGGUGCGGCAGAAGCUGCGUAGGUUCCUGCAGAGGCGGCCGACGCUGCAGUCGCUGCGCGAGCGGGGCUACAUCAAGGGUACCAUGGGGGAGG
ensembl:lncRNA